AGUGAACGCUGGCGGUAGGCCUAACACAUGCAAGUCGAACGGCAGCACAGUAAGAGCUUGCUCUUACGGGUGGCGAGUGGCGGACGGGUGAGGAAUACAUCGGAAUCUACUUUUUCGUGGGGGAUAACGUAGGGAAACUUACGCUAAUACCGCAUACGACCUACGGGUGAAAGCAGGGGAUCUUCGGACCUUGCGCGAUUGAAUGAGCCGAUGUCGGAUUAGCUAGUUGGCGGGGUAAAGGCCCACCAAGGCGACGAUCCGUAGCUGGUCUGAGAGGAUGAUCAGCCACACUGGAACUGAGACACGGUCCAGACUCCUACGGGAGGCAGCAGUGGGGAAUAUUGGACAAUGGGCGCAGGCCUGAUCCAGCCAUACCGCGUGGGUGAAGAAGGCCUUCGGGUUGUAAAGCCCUUUUGUUGGGAAAGAAAAGCAGCAGGUUAAUACCCCGCUGUUCUGGCGGUACCCAAAGAAUAAGCACCGGCUAACUUCGUG
rnacentral:rRNA from 1 species